rnacentral:rRNA from 1 species
GGGGGGGGCAAGCGUUGUUCGGAAUUACUGGGCGUAAAGGGCUCGUAGGUGGCCAACUAAGUCAGACGUGAAAUCCCUCGGCUUAACCGAGGAACUGCGUCUGAUACUGGAUGGCUUGAGUUUGGGAGAGGGAUGCGGAAUUCCAGGUGUAGCGGUGAAAUGCGUAGAUAUCUGGAGGAACACCGGUGGCGAAGGCGGCAUCCUGGACCAAUACUGACGCUGAACAGCGAAAGCCAGGGGAGCAAACGGGAUUAGAUACCCCGGUAGUCCUGGCCCUAAACGAUGAAUGCUUGGUGUGGCGGGUAUCGAUCCCUGCCGUGCCGAAGCUAACGCAUUAAGCAUUCCGCCUGGGGAGUACGGUCGCAAGGCUG